AACAGGAUUAGAUACCCUGGUAGUCCACGCCGUAAACGAUGUCGACUUGGAGGUUGUGCCCUUGAGGCGUGGCUUCCGGAGCUAACGCGUUAAGUCGACCGCCUGGGGAGUACGGCCGCAAGGUUAAAACUCAAAUGAAUUGACGGGGGCCCGCACAAGCGGUGGAGCAUGUGGUUUAAUUCGAUGCAACGCGAAGAACCUUACCUACUCUUGACAUCCAGAGAAGUUAGCAGAGAUGCUUAGGUGCCUUCGGGAACCGUGAGACAGGUGCUGCAUGGCUGUCGUCAGCUCGUGUUGUGAAAUGUUGGGUUAAGUCCCGCAACGAGCGCAACCCUUAUCCUUUGUUGCCAGCGGUCCGGCCGGGAACUCAAAGGAGACUGCCAGUGAUAAACUGGAGGAAGGUGGGGAUGACGUCAAGUCAUCAUGGCCCUUACGACCAGGGCUGCACACGUGCUACAAUGGCGCAUACAAAGAGAAGCGACCUCGCGAGAGCAAGCGGACCUCAUAAAGUGCGUCGUAGUCCGGAUUGGAGUCUGCAACUCGACUCCAUGAAGUCGGAAUCGCUAGUAAUCGUGGAUCAGAAUGCCACGGUGAAUACGUUCCCGGGCCUUGUACACACCGCCCGUCACACCAUGGGAGUGGGUUGCAAAAGAAGUAGGUAGCUUAACCUUCGGGAGGGCGCUUACCACUUUGUGAUUCAUGACUGGGGUGAAGUCGUAACAAGGUAACC
rnacentral:rRNA from 1 species